rnacentral:rRNA from 1 species
UACGUAGGGUGCGAGCGUUAAUCGGAAUUACUGGGCGUAAAGGGUGCGCGGGUGGCUUGCCAAGACCCCUGUAAAAUCCUACGGCCCAACCGUAGCGCAGCGGAGGUUACUGGUAGGCUUGAGUAUGGCAGAGGGGGGUCGAAUUCCCAGGUGUAGCGGUGAAAUGCGUAGAGAUCUGGAGGAAGACCGAAGGCGAAGGCAACCCCCUGGGCCAUCACUGACACUGAGGCACGAAAGCGUGGGGAGCAAACAGGAUUAGAUACCCCCGUAGU